GGGAUCCAGGGCAGAGCCAGCAGAAGGGUGGUGGUGGUGGUGAUGGUGGCGGUGGUGCAUGUGGGCAUGGGGGUGGUGCCGCAUGUACACGUCAUGCAUGUGGCUGUAGGAUGGGCUCACCUGAGAUGCCAAAGGAGGUAAGCUGAUACCAGCUUAUGCAGUCACGGCCUAUGCUGAGGUUUGACAGCAUGAGACUGAAAAGCUUCAUUUCCUCCAGGGCACCUUGCUGCCACCAGGUCUGAGCCCAGGUCACAGGGCUCUACACUAAAGCACCUACCUAGAUCUUUUCAUUAAAAGAAGAAUAUCCUAAGAAGUACUCUAAAACAAAAGUGUUCACAAGUCUGACAUAUCCAUGUUCUCACUUCAUAAAUGUCCAGGACAUCGUUUUCUUACCUCAGAGGAAAGCUCAUGUAACUUGAACCAACCACAGUAUAUGUAAGUUGGCUAACAUAAUAAUCAGGAUAUCAACAUGCUGUUCAAAUGUUUCCUUUCUCUAACUCCCCAAAGGACUGUGCCCCUAGACUGCAAACUUCAGUUUUCUCCCCUCAGCCCUACAGCAGCGCUACCAUCAUUCACCCUGUCGGUUCAUGGACAGACAGCUCUUUGUCGUCUCACAUUCAAGUCUGUGCCCACAGAAUCUCCAGGGAUCUCAAAACCCUUGGGGAAAUAAAACAAACAAUCAUACUCUCCUAACGGAAGAGGAUGGAAGCACACAUUGUUCUUCGAGUCUUCAAACAGUGCAGGCAAACUUCUAAUUGAAUGGCUCUGUUUUGCCACGAUCACAUCUAUCAGAAAACAGCACUUACAGUCAAACUUCCUGGCAUCGGGGCAAAUAUGUUUUAUUUCAGAACUGUCUUCCUUUGACAUAUGAAGAGUGGGUGCUAAUGACCAACAAAGAAAGUUGUGUAAGCUGUGAGAAAAAUUCAAUUUGCCUUAAAUGAUGGCCAUUUGUAGAAUAUUCUGUCAACACCCACAGUGCUAGCUGUCAAUAUUUAAAAUUAAAACCCACUCAAAAAGUU